UACGGGGGGGGCGAGCGUUGUUCGGAAUUACUGGGCGUAAAGGGUUUGUAGGUGGCCUGCUAAGUCAGACGUGAAAUCCCUCAGCUUAACUGGGGAACUGCGUCUGAUACUGGCGGGCUUGAGGACAGGAGAGGAACGCGGAAUUCCAGGUGUAGCGGUGAAAUGCGUAGAUAUCUGGAGGAACACCGGUGGUGAAGGCGGCGUUCUGGACUGUUUCUGACACUGACAAACGAAAGCCAGGGGAGCAAACGGG
rnacentral:rRNA from 1 species